rnacentral:rRNA from 1 species
ACGGGGGGAGCAAGCGUUGCUCGGAAUCACUGGGCGUAAAGGGCGCGUAGGCGGCCAUUCAAGUCAGAGGUGAAAGCCCAAGGCUCAACCUUGGAACUGCCUUUGAUACUGUUUGGCUUGAGACCGGUAGAGGUAAGUGGAACUGCGAGUGUAGAGGUGAAAUUCGUAGAUAUUCGCAAGAACACCAGUGGCGAAGGCGGCUUACUGGACCGGUUCUGACGCUGAGGCGCGAAAGCGUGGGGAGCAAACAG